rnacentral:rRNA from 1 species
CCUACGGGUGGCAGCAGUGGGGAAUAUUGCACAAUGGGGGAAACCCUGAUGCAGCGACGCCGCGUGAGCGAGGAAGUAUUUCGGUAUGUAAAGCUCUAUCAGCAGGGACGAAAAAAGACGGGACCGGACGAAGAAGCCCGGGCUAACUACGUGCCAGCAGCCGCGGUAAGACGAAGGGGGCAAGCGUUAUCCGGCUUUACGGGUGGUAAAGGGAGCGGAGAAGGCAAGGCAAGCCAGAAGUGAAAGGGCAGGGCUCCCCCCUGGACAUGCUGUUGGAACUGGGGUGCGUGAGGGCAGGAGACGUAAGUGUGCUUCCUAGUGUAGCGGUGAACUGCGUAGAUAUUAGGAGGACCACCAGUGGCGAAGGCGGCUUACUGGACUGUACCUGACGUUGAGGCUCGAACGCGUGGGGAGCAAACAGGAUUAGAUACCCUAGUAGUC